rnacentral:rRNA from 1 species
UACGUAGGCAGCGAGCGUUGUUCGGAGUUACUGGGCGUAAAGGGUGUGUAGGCGGUUCUUUAAGUUUGGUGUGAAAUCUCCCGGCUCAACCGGGAGGGUGCGCCGAAUACUGAGGGACUCGAGUGCGGGAGAGGAAAGUGGAAUUCCUGGUGUAGCGGUGAAAUGCGUAGAUAUCAGGAGGAACACCGGUGGUGUAGACGGCUUUCUGGACCGUAACUGACGCUGAGGAGCGAAAGCGUGGGGAGCGAACAGG